rnacentral:lncRNA from 11 species
GCACAAGGAAGCUGAUGCUGCUUCUCCUCCUCCACCAAAUCCUGACUCUGAGCAGCGCAUCCUUCCCCGAUAGAAACAAUGCAGCCCCUUUGCAAGGUUAAAGCAGAAUGUUUUGGCUGGCCAAGAUGAUGCGAGGCAGUUGCUGGACCGGGAUGGAGGAGCUGUGCCCUUUAACCACUGCAUCUCCGGCUGUGACUGGGAGUCUGCUCUCAAAGAGGAAAUAAGCCCUGGAAAUGGCAUCUACCUGGCAGUGCUGAAGCUCGCCUGGAGAAGGAAAGGAGCGAACGUUUGCUGUGGGGUUUCAAUUGAGGUGUAUGCGAAAAGAGAGAGAAGGAAAUAACUGGCUGGGAUGAAGGAUCUCGCCCAUAGAGGAGUGUCUGAAUCCAGGCAUUUUUCACCCGAAUGAAGGAUUUAAUAUUUGGAGAAAAGGGGUGCUGUGUUUGCUUCAAUUUGCUUCCAAAAUGUGACUAAAGCCAAUACUACACCAUUCAGUCAUCUUCUGUCUUUGCUCAUACCUGUUUCUUCUACAGCUGAAACCUAUUAAGAGAAAAACCACACAAACAGAGUAUCCAGGAGGGAAACGAAGAUCUCAUUUGCUUUAUUUAUGUGGAUUUAUUGCGCUAAUUUGAUAUUCCUUUUCUUCACGUGUUGUUGAGAGCCUCCAGCUAUGUACUCUUUGCAAUAACCGUGGUCAGACUCAUGAAAUACUGGCUGUGUUUUUAAUUUUUUUCUGAAACAAAGUUUGAACAAUGAUUACAGUGAAUUCAGAUGGGAAAAUAAUGGUCAGAAGAUGUCUUGUCACCCUAAAGCCUUUUAGGAUAUUUGUGGUGGGGAUUGGAUUUUUCACACUCUGCUUCUUAAUGACAUCUCUGGGAGGGCAGUUUUCAGCCAAAAGACUGGGAGAUUCUCCAUUCACCAUCAGGACUGAAGGUAGGUAACAUUAUCAUAGAUUUAACUACAUUUUCCAGAUGGAAAAGCCAGGGAAGAGCUUUUGU